AGAGUUUGAUCCUGGCUCAGGACGAACGCUGGCGGCGCGCCUAACACAUGCAAGUCGAACGGAGCUUGCUUGUCAGAUCCUUUCGGGGUGACGACUUGUAAGCUUAGUGGCGAACGGGUGAGUAACACGUGAGUAACCUGCCCCAGAGUGGGGGACAACAGUUGGAAACGACUGCUAAUACCGCAUAAGCCCACGGAACCGCAUGGUUCAGAGGGAAAAGGAGCAAUUCGCUUUGGGAUGGACUCGCGUCCGAUUAGCUAGAUGGUGAGGUAACGGCCCACCAUGGCGACGAUCAGGUAGCCCGGACUGAGAGGUUGAUCAGGCCACAUUGGGACUGAGACACAGGCCCAGACUCCUACGGGAGGCAGCAGUGGGGAAUAUUGCACAAUGGGGGAAACCCUGAUGCAGCGACGCCGCGUGGAGGAAGAAGGCCUUCGGGUUGUAAACUCCUGUCGUAAGGGACGAUAGUGACGGUACCUUACAAGAAAGCCACGGCUAACUACGUGCCAGCAGCCGCGGU
rnacentral:rRNA from 1 species